AUCCAUCUCCGUGGGCCCCUUCUCCGCCGCCGCUCGCGACGCUCGGCCAACUCCUCCCCGUGCUGGAAAUCAGGCGUCCUCGUCGGCACCGGCCUAAAUCGAGUUCCAUCCGCGCCGCCCCAAUCCCCGGCCACCGCCCUAUUGGAGGUCGUCGCCCCCUUCUCGGUCGCCUGCCGCGGUAGACUCCAUCUUCGCUGCCGUGCCGUCGCCCCCUCCCUUGCCGCCGUCCCCACUCCUGCCGCUGCCACAAAUCGAGAUGCUGGUGUUUGCGAUGGUGGUGCCGCCGAUGACUCGCUGAUCUGGAGGAGCCACACCGAUCCCUGGAGGAGCUUGCUCGACGCCGACUAGUGCUCCUUGCUUCGAAUCCGGUUAGUAAGAUCAGCAGGGAUGACUUCGCCUUGGAAGGUUUCCUUUUUCCCCAUGUUCUUCACAGACCCGAUCAAUGGGGAAGUGUACAUUGAGAUCGUCUGAAUGUGUGAUGCCGUGGUGUGCAAGAGAAAAGGUUGGAGCCGACAGCGCUAAGAGGCAGGCGCAGGAUCCAUACAUUUAUGCAGCAGUAGUAUACAUAACUAGAAACUUGGCCUAAUGGUGUACGAGAUCAGAACCUUGGUCGUGGACUACUGAUGAUGCAAUGCCCGAAUUCAUUAUGCUGGAUUGAACAUAUUUUCUUAAGACAACUCUGGCUGAAUCUAAGUAGAAGAUGGUUUGUCAACAAUGUUAGCCAUGGAGUCUGUGGUCCACUAAUCUUAGGACUUGUAUGAUUGUAUCCCAUGAUCUAGUGACAUUUCCAUUGAGCUUUUCAGUGGAGUUUGUAUACAGCAGAAAUUCUGACCUUGCAUUGUUGAGAUAUGUUGUUAAGCCUUUAUGUCUAUAAUUGAUUCCAGGAAAUAC